UGGUGUCGGUAUCUAGUGUUGAUUUGUAUAUCAAAUGUCGUUUCGAUAAUUCUUCCAAUUAGAAAUUUUCAAGUAAGUACUCAAUUAUCGGAUUUUUCUUCUAAAUACAAAGGAAAAAGAAAUUUCGUUAUAUCUUCAAUUGGUUUGAUUGUUACACUAUCCUUAAGUUUAUCUUAUCUCCAAAGAAUGAUUCCCGAAGCCUUUUAAUAACCAACAUUCAAUUUGAUCGAUUAGCGUCCAAGUUCUCAUCAUUACCAAAGAGAAUCAAAGGGUCCAAUUUGUUAUACGGUUGAAACCGAUGCCAAUUUAAAUAUAACCUACCAUAAAAACUCCGGUGAUCAUAUAGUAUUGGCUACGGCUGUCCUAUUGCUGCCAAUCGACAUCGAUUGGACGUUCGGAUAUUGUUCGGGCACAUCAGCCGGUGUCAAUUUGGUAUACGAUGGAUUCACAUUUAAUUUGGAUUUGAGACGAUCGCUAGUCGAUACAAAGUGGUAUUUUAGCAGUGUUCGAGUUCGUUACAAUUCAUCGCAUUCGAUAUUUGAGCAAACCCACCGUCAUAAUGAACUAAUUACAUUAAUACCCCAAGAUCCGGUCGUAUACUUGACGCCAAACCACGAAGAAUACAAUUGCAAUGGAUGCAUUAUAAACUUAUUCGAAAAGGAUCAUCAAUAUCCCCAUAAAGCUCUCUUGAAUUUGUACAAUUUUCGAUUUCUUCGUACUGCGGAAGAUCAUGGCCUUACGGAUUACUCGGCUAUUUGGGGACCAGUUUGCGCUAUUUUUUUCCUUUUGCUCAUUGCGAUUUGCCUAUUUUUCGUUCAUGACAGCAAAAUGAGCACAUUAGAGCUAUAGCUAACUGAACUCGGGAGCGACAAAAGGCCACAUUUUGAUACAUUUUCAAACUACACUUGAAUUUUUUUUUUCAUUCUUUAAAAAAAUCUAACGUUCACUGAAUCAUGGUGUGCUGGUGGUACUUUUUCAUCAAAGCAAAUGAUUUCAAUCGAUCCUUACCUCUUUUAAGCAAAUGAUAAUCAAAAUUAUGAAAAAAAAAAAGAUUUUAUAUCCGUUUUGAAUACGUAAAUUUAUGAAUUAUGACGUGCU